rnacentral:rRNA from 1 species
UACAGAGGGUGCGAGCGUUGUUCGGAAUUAUUGGGCGUAAAGGGCGCGUAGGCGGUGCGGUAAGUCACCUGUGAAAUCUCCCGGCUUAACUGGGAGCCUGCAGGCGAAACUACCGUGCUGGAGUGUGGGAGAGGUGCGUGGAAUUCCCGGUGUAGCGGUGAAAUGCGUAGAUAUCAGGAGGAACACCUGUGGUGUAGACAGCUUACUGGACCAUUUCUGACGCUGAGACACGAAAGCGUGGGUAGCAAACAGG